CCUACGGGAGGCAGCAGUAGGGAAUAUUGCUCAAUGGGGGAAACCCUGAAGCAGCAACGCCGCGUGGAGGAUGAAGGUUUUCGGAAUGUAAACUCCUAUUAGCAGAGAAGAUAAUGACGGUAUCUGACGAAUAAGCACCGGCUAACUCCGUGCCAGCAGCCGCGGUAAUACGGAGGGGGCAAGCGUUAUUCGGAAUUACUGGGCGUAAAGAGCGCGUAGGCGGGAUAGCAAGUCAGAUGUGAAAUCCUAUGGCUUAACCCUAGAACUGCAUUUGAAACUGUUAUUCUGGAGUAUGGGAGAGGUAGGUGGAAUUCUUGGUGUAGGGGUAAAAUCCGUAGAGAUUAAGAGGAAUACUCAUGGCGAAGGCGACCUACUAGACCAUAACUGACGUUGAUGCGCGAAAGCGUGGGGAGCAAACAGGAUUAGAUACCCGUGUAGUC
rnacentral:rRNA from 1 species